rnacentral:rRNA from 1 species
GAUGAACGCUGGCGGCGUGCUUAACACAUGCAAGUCGAACGAUGAAGCCCAGCUUGCUGGGUGGAUUAGUGGCGAACGGGUGAGUAACACGUGAGUAACCUGCCCUUAACUCUGGGAUAAGCCUGGGAAACUGGGUCUAAUACCGGAUAGGAGCGUCCACCGCAUGGUGGGUGUUGGAAAGAUUUAUCGGUUUUGGAUGGACUCGCGGCCUAUCAGCUUGUUGGUGAGGGAAUGGCUGACCAAGGCGACGACGGGUAGCCGGCCUGGGAGGGUGACCGGCCACACUGGGACUGAGACACGGCCCAGACUCCUACGGGAGGCAGCAGUGGGGAAUAUUGCACAAUGGGCGCAAGCCUGAUGCAGCGACGCCGCGUGAGUGAUGACGGCCUUCGGGUUGUAAACCUCUUUCAGUAGGGAAGAAGCGAAAGUGACGGUACCUGCAGAAGAAGCACCGGCUAACUACGUG